GAUAACUGUUCAGACAAGUGGUAGGAAUGAUGGAGUAACGCCCUAAAGCUACCCCAGUGAGAUUCCCGACUGCAUACGCCAAGCAUAGCGUGAUGUGGAAAGCAGGGUAAAAUAUGCAAUCACUAUCCGAAGUACCCGAUAAGGGCAACCGAAAGCCAAUAGGAGUAAUAAACCAAUUGGAACUGAUAAAGUAUUGUAUGCUGUCAACCGA
rnacentral:ncRNA from 1 species